rnacentral:rRNA from 1 species
UACGUAGGGGGCGAGCGUUGUCCGGAAUCAUUGGGCGUAAAGAGCGUGUAGGCGGUUCAGUAAGUCUGCUGUGAAAGUCCAGGGCUCAACCCUGGGAUGCCGGUGGAUACUGCUGGGCUAGAGUACGGAAGAGGCGAGUGGAAUUCCCGGUGUAGCGGUGAAAUGCGCAGAUAUCGGGAGGAACACCUAUUGCGAAGGCAGCUCGCUGGGACGUUACUGACGCUGAGACGCGAAAGCGUGGGGAGCAAACAGG